AACGUAGGGGGCGAGCGUUGUCCGGAAUUAUUGGGCGUAAAGAGCUCGUAGGCGGUUUGUCGCGUCUGCCGUGAAAGUCCGGGGCUUAACUCCGGAUCUGCGGUGGGUACGGGCAGACUAGAGUGAUGUAGGGGAGACUGGAAUUCCUGGUGUAGCGGUGAAAUGCGCAGAUAUCAGGAGGAACACCGAUGGCGAAGGCAGGUCUCUGGGCAUUAACUGACGCUGAGGAGCGAAAGCAUGGGGAGCGAACAGG
rnacentral:rRNA from 1 species